CUUUCAGGCAGCAAAAGUCCCUGUUAAAGAGUAUGAAUUUGAUCAAAAGAAGCUGGCUAAUGUGCAGUCUCACCUGGAAAAGUUGGUAGCCAAUAACUAUUUCUUGAAUGGGUCGGCUAAAGAAGCAUACAGAUCCUACAUAUUAGCAUAUAACUCUCACUCUAUGAAAGGAAUCUCAGACGUUCACCGCCUUGAUUUGCAGGCUGUUGCUGGUUCUUUCUGCUUUUCGAACCCACCAAAGGUGAACGUGAACAUACAUAGUUGUGCCUCAAAGUGCAGACAUAGGGAAGAAAAAAGGGUUUCAGUGAGAGCAACCCUUACGGAAGGCAGGGACAAUUUGUUGGCAUUAGCAGA